CUGCAGACCUUGCAUCGAGACUCAGCCAGCGUUGGCUCUGCUCUUUCUAUAACAGUCUGCUAGAGAGAUGUUUGAGGCCGUUUGAGGCCCUGUUGUGGAACAACACAGUAGGGUUAUAGGUAAACCUCCUACAAGC
rnacentral:snoRNA from 1 species